GCCGAAAUAGCUCAGUUGGGAGAGCGUUAGACUAUAGAUCGAAAGUUCAUGGUUCGAUCCCGUGUUUCGCCA
rnacentral:tRNA from 1 species